rnacentral:rRNA from 1 species
UACGUAGGGGGCAAGCGUUGUCCGGAAUCAUUGGGCGUAAAGAGCGUGUAGGUGGCUCGGUAAGUCCGCUGUGAAAGUCGAGGGCUCAACCCUGGAAUGCCGGUGGAAACUGUCGAGCUAGAGUCCGGAAGAGGCGAGUGGAAUUCCUGGUGUAGCGGUGAAAUGCGCAGAUAUCAGGAGGAACACCAAUGGCGAAGGCAGCUCGCUGGGACGGUACUGACACUGAGACGCGAAAGCGUGGGGAGCAAACAGG